AGUUGGAGGUAAAGGGCACCUACCUCCUUUUCAGAGAUGUAGAGCUGGUCCCCUUUCAGCAUCACAUAGCGGUUUUUCCAAAUCUCCCUGAAAAUCCCUUUCCCGCAGAAUUUCCGGACCCAGCCGACCUUCUCAGGCAGUGCAGACUGAUGAUUUCCAUCCGGAGGCCCCUGUCCCAGGGGCAAGAUAAGAACCAUAUGAUUAGAGCGCAAUGUAAACGGCUGCCUGUCUCCCAGGGGAGGAGGAGGAUGGAGGUCGGGCAGAAACUAAACCAAGUUAAACCCCCCAAAGCCAAGUAAACAAACAAAAGCCUCCGCUGGUUCCUCGCCGCGGGGCCCGGCGCAUCCCGACCGAGGACCGAGGGGACCCCGCAGCCGGGCGAGGAGGGCGGGCGCGGGCCAGGGCUCGCGCAGGCCGCCCCGGGCCCUACUCCCGCCGCUCCCUCCCGACGGGGCUGGGGUCCUCGGAGCAGAAAGUCAGCCGCAGUCGCAGAGCUGUGAGGGUAAGACCAAGAGAGACCUAAACCCAGCGGGAGAGCGGCUUCCAGAGGGGCAGAGUCCCAGACGCAGACAGUCUAGAGAGAGAGGGGAGCCAGAAGAGACACAGACCGACCGAAUCUGCCGAAGAGACAGCAGAAGCAGAUGGAGUGGCGUCUCUGGAAUAACCCCAAGUACGGAAGCUGAGUAUUAUGGUCUCCAUUUUACAGAGAAGAAAAGUGCGAGUUGGGAUGGCAGAGGAAUUUGCAGGCACACAUUUUAAGUGCUGGCAAGAAUAGAACUUUGUCUCCAAAGCCAUUUUCCAUUAUACCAAGUGGCUUUAAAUAUAAGCUGCAGAUAAGGCUAAAAGUCUCUACUACCUGGGUUUCCCUCCCUGCUGCACUGCCCGGCAAAAAUUUCAACCUGUCUACCCAACUUGAGACCAGUGGAGGGAAGUGCACAAAACCAGAGGAUUCCCAGACUGGGGGAACCUCUGCCCAUCCCUCCUAUACCAGUUCCCUGGGCAUAGCCUAUGGGCCAACAGUAUAGAAACUUCACUUUUUUUUUUUAUGGGAAGAGGGGAGUCAGGAAACCCGAGUAUGGGUACUGGUUUCCUCACCACUCUGUGGCCUUUGGUCAAGUCACUGAAUUUCUUUAGGCCUCAGCUCCUCCACAUAUUAAAUGGUGAGUGAUGAACUACCAUUUCCAUCGACAAAGUUAGGGGAAUAUAUGAGAUGACAUAUGAAAAUCCUUUGGAAAUAUAAGUAUUGCCCUCCAGGGCUUAUUAUUAAAUAAUAGUAAGCUAAUAAGCACAUUGCCUGGCAUAUGGUAGGCACACAGUAACUACAAAAUGAAUAAAAAUUUCUGGCACAGAGGAGUGUGAAAAAUGAAGAACCCCUUUUCUGGAGAUGUGUUAAGAUAAAAAAAAGUUUUGGACAAAUUUGUAGCUUAGGAUAUCUUAGCCUUCUCUGGUAUCCAUCAAAUGAAGGUAAGGACUUCCUCUCUAUUCCCCCUUUCCCUUAAAUCUUUAGUGCCACCUUGUGAGGUAUACAGAAUAAGUAUUAUUAUUCCCACUUCGAAAAUGAGGAAACGGGUCACGGCAAAUUAUCUGACUUGCCUAGGUUUACACAGCAAGUUACUGGCUAAAUGGAUCAGAGUUCGGGUUUUCUGGCUCCCAGUCUACUGUUUAGGCUUCACACACACACACACCCCACAUUCCCCAAGCCACUUCACCCUCUUCCCAGCAUCUCUAUUUCCUACCCUCUUGUUUAAAAAAUGGUAGAGAGAGACAGAGAGACAGAGAGAGAGAGGGAAAAUCCAGGAUAUCAUCAUAGGUGAGGAAGCAAAGUGUCCUAUACUGGCG